rnacentral:rRNA from 1 species
CUACGGGGCGCUCCAGUCGAGAAUCUUCCGCAAUGGACGAAAGUCUGACGGAGCGACGCCGCGUGCGGGAUGAAGGCCUUCGGGUUGUAAACCGCUGUCAGUGGGGAGGAAAUGCAUCAGGGUUCUCCCUGGUGUUUGACCGAUCCGCAGAGGAAGCGCAGGCUAAGUUCGUGCCAGCAGCCGCGGUAACACGAACUGCGUCGAACGUUAUUCGGAAUCACUGGGCUUAAAGAGUUCGUAGGCGGCCUUUCAAGUCGGGUGUGAAAUCCCUCGGCUCAACCGAGGAAUUGCGCCUGAUACUGUUGGGCUUGAGGGGGAUAGGGGUGAGCGGAACUGAUGGUGGAGCGGUGAAAUGCGUUGAUAUCAUCAGGAACACCGGUGGCGAAGGCGGCUCACUGGAUCUCUUCUGACGCUGAGGAACGAAAGCUAGGGGAGCAAACGGGAUUAGAUACCCGCGUAGUC